UACGUAGGGAGCGAGCGUUGUCCGGAAUUACUGGGUGUAAAGGGAGCGUAGGCGGGAUGGCAAGUCAGAUGUGAAAACUAUGGGCUCAACCCAUAGACUGCAUUUGAAACUGUUGUUCUUGAGUGAGGUAGGGGUAAGCGGAAUUCCUGGUGUAGCGGUGAAAUGCGUAGAGAUCAGGAGGAACAUCGGUGGCGAAGGCGGCUUACUGGGCCUUUACUGACGCUGAGGCUCGAAAGCGUGGGGAGCAAACAGG
rnacentral:rRNA from 1 species